AUUUGAGCUUCCUUGUUUAAAAAACAUGUGAGGAGUUCUAUUCUUAGCGACACUUGCCUGUUCCAAAGAUGUCAACAAUGGUCUAAUGACUUCCUGGGCAGGCCACACAUCCCAGGCCAAGACCAAUUACUGGAACAUACCCUCCAACAUUUCUCCGUUGAAAUAGGGACGUCCCAUUCCAUAAUGAUAAUUUUACUAUUUAUACCCCACACAUCCUACUGAGUUGCCCCAGCCACUCUGGGCAGCUUCUAACAUAUAUAAAAACAUAAUAAAACAUUUUAAAACUUCCCUAUACAGGGAGUGGUUAGAUAACUCCAUACCCUCCAACAUUUCUCCAAUGAAAAUAGGAACAUCCUACCAUACCAUCCAACAUUCCUCCAAUGAAAAUAGAGACAUCCUAAGCAAAAGUGGGACAUUCCAGGAUCAAAUCAGAAACUGGGAUGGCUCCUCUAAGUCAGGGACCUCCCUGGAAAAUAGGGAGACUUGGAGGAUCUGCUGGAAGGAGGAGCGGCAUUGUUUGGCUUGAGCGUGAUGCAGCUCAGGCAGGCAGCUUGCCAACAUCUGUAGCCUAAACAGAGCAGAGCAAGCAAGUUGCAAGCAGCGAACAGAGAAGGCAACAGAGGAGCAUUCUGCUCAUGGCUCCCGAAGCAAAACAAAACUGCAAGUAUGUCACAUUUCCAAAAGUUUUUGGGUCUCAUCUAUCUAUCUUGGGAGACAAUUGAAGAAUGUGCCUUCGGGGGUGAAGUCAAACCAUUGAAGAGUUACAGUGCCUGUUGUGGCUGUAGAGACUGAUAUGGGAGAGACAUGUUUUGUUUGCUUUCCAAAAGUAAUAAAAUAAAAUAAAAUAUUGGGAUAAAUUUGGCCAUUUAACAAAAAAUAUUGUCACAAGUAGAGAUUUGCUUCAGUAUGUCCAAU
rnacentral:lncRNA from 1 species